CUCGUGGGAUUAUCUAGUUGGUGAGGUAAAGGCUCACCAAGGCGACGAUCCCUAUCUGGUUUGAGAGGAUGAUCAGCCACACUGGGACUGAGACACGGCCCAGACUCCUACGGGAGGCACAGUGGGGAAUAUUGGACAAUGGGGGCAAUCCCGAUCCAGCCAUGCCGCGUGUGUGAAGAAGGCCCGAGGGUUGUAAAGCACUUUCAGUUGGGAGGAAGGUUUAGUCGCUAAUAUUGGCUUUUCUUGACGUUACCUUCAGAAGAAGCACCGGCUAACUCUGUGCCAGCAGCCGCGGUAAUACAGAGGGUGGAAGCGUUAUUCGGAAUUACUGGACGUAAAGCGCGCGUAGCCUGAUUGUUUAAAUUGGUUGUGAAUCCCCUGGGCUCAACCUAGGAAUUGCA
rnacentral:rRNA from 1 species